rnacentral:rRNA from 1 species
AUUGAACGCUGGCGGCAGGCCUAACACAUGCAAGUCGAGCGAGCGGCGGACGGGUGAGUAAUGUAUGGGAAUCUGCCUGAUGGAGGGGGAUAACUACUGGAAACGGUAGCUAAUACCGCAUACCAUCAGAUGUGCCCAUAUGGGAUUAGCUAGUAGGUGGGGUAACGGCUCACCUAGGCGACGAUCCCUAGCUGGUCUGAGAGGAUGACCAGCCACACUGGGACUGAGACACGGUCCAGACUCCUACGGGAGGCAGCAGUGGGGAAUAUUGCACAAUGGGCGCAAGCCUGAUGCAGCCAUGCCGCGUGUGUGAAGAAGGCCUUCGGGUUGUAAAGCACUUUCAGCGGGGAGGCGUUACCGACAGAAGAAGCACCGGCUAACUCCGUGCCAGCAGCCGCGGUAAUUC